rnacentral:rRNA from 1 species
UACGUAGGGUGCGAGCGUUAAUCGGAAUUACUGGGCGUAAAGCGUGCGCAGGCGGUUAUGUAAGACAGAUGUGAAAUGCCCGGGCUUAACCUGGGAACUGCAUUUGUGACUGCAUGGCUAGAGUGUGUCAGAGGGGGGUAGAAUUCCACGUGUAGCAGUGAAAUGCGUAGAUAUGUGGAGGAAUACCGAUGGCGAAGGCAGCCCCCCUGGGAUAACACUGACGCUCAUUGCACGAAAAGCGUGGGGGAGCAAA